CCAGGUGAAGAAGAUAAUCAUUUCUGUGUCAAAGGAGAACGUGGCUAUCCAGGUGCUACAGGACCCAAAGGACAACCAGGAUUACCAGGUGCUGACGGCCAGCCAGGUUUACCAGGAGAACCAGGAAUUUCCAGUCGUGGGCCCAAAGGCCAAUCCGGAUAUCCUGGACAAAGAGGUCCUAAAGGAGAUAAAGGUGAUCCUGGACAGAUUUUCGAAGGUCCUCCUGGUCCUCCUGGAUUUCCAGGCCCUCCAGGCUCACCAGGUCCGGUGGGACUACAAGGUGAGACUAUCAGUAUAAAUGGCCAACCAGGACCUAGAGGGCCACCUGGACAAAGGGGUUUUGUUGGUUUUCGUGGUCCAACUGGAUACAAAGGUGAUAGAGGUGACCUGUGUGUAACAUGCCGUGGAACUUCACAACCUGGUCCUCCUGGUCCACCCGGCCUUCCUGGGAUACCCGGUACAUCAGCAUUACCAGGCACAAAAGGAAUUCCUGGUCCCUCAGGUCAAUGCGGAGAAACAGGUUCCCUGG